GGAGAGGUGUCCGAGCGGCCGAAGGAGCGCGACUGGAAAUCGCGUACGUGCUGAAAGGUGCGUCGCGGGUUCAAAUCCCGCCCUCUCCGCCU
rnacentral:tRNA from 1 species